ACUUUCCAGAUUCCUUACCCAUCAUAUAUAAGCAUUGGUCUGAGUGGCUAUAAAAGUAGGAAAUGUAAAAAUAUGCCGGACUUGGAUUCUUUACUUAUAUGCAAGUUUGUUUCAAAAAAAA
rnacentral:snoRNA from 1 species